rnacentral:rRNA from 1 species
AUGGAUGAGAUUCGUGCUUUGUUGCUCAACCGCUCUUCUUCCAGUUUGUCCUACUCAAGACGGAGCAGCUCAAGUCGAUACUCCAACAACACCAUCUCUGGCUCAAGUACACCGACAUUGAAUACUCUUCGACGUGCCGCGCGCCAAGGCCGUCAAGGAAACCGCAACCCUCUACAUGACAACGACUCUCAAGAGCAACGACACCGUAAAAACCAUGCUACUUUGGCGCAAGCACGAGAACAGCAAUGCCAAUGCCAUCAAGAAGAGGAAGAGCGAGCGAGACAACAUCAAGAUGAACAACAUGCCGAGGCAAAACAUCAAGAACAACAACUACGUGAAGCUUAA